AGAGUUUGAUCCUGGCUCAGGAUGAACGCUAGCGGCAGGCCUAACACAUGCAAGUCGAGGGGCAUCGGGAUUGAAGCUUGCUUCAAUUGCCGGCGACCGGCGCACGGGUGCGUAACGCGUAUGUAACCUACCUAUAACAGGGGCAUAACACUGAGAAAUUGGUACUAAUUCCCCAUAAUAUUCGGAGAGGCAUCUCUCCGGGUUGAAAACUCCGGUGGUUAUAGAUGGACAUGCGUUGUAUUAGCUAGUUGGUGAGGUAACGGCUCACCAAGGCAACGAUACAUAGGGGGACUGAGAGGUUAACCCCCCACACUGGUACUGAGACACGGACCAGACUCCUACGGGAGGCAGCAGUGAGGAAUAUUGGUCAAUGGACGCAAGUCUGAACCAGCCAUGCCGCGUGCAGGAUGACGGCUCUAUGAGUUGUAAACUGCUUUUGUACGAGGGUAAACGCAGAUACGUGUAUCUGUCUGAAAGUAUCGUACGAAUAAGGAUCGGCUAACUCCGUGCCAGCAGCCGCGGUAAUACGGAGGAUUCAAGCGUUAUCCGGAUUUAUUGGGUUUAAAGGGUGCGUAGGCGGUUUGAUAAGUUAGAGGUGAAAUUUCGGGGCUCAACCCUGAACGUGCCUCUAAUACUGUUGAGCUAGAGAGUAGUUGCGGUAGGCGGAAUGUAUGGUGUAGCGGUGAAAUGCUUAGAGAUCAUACAGAACACCGAUUGCGAAGGCAGCUUACCAAACUAUAUCUGACGUUGAGGCACGAAAGCGUGGGGAGCAAACAGGAUUAGAUACCCUGGUAGUCCACGCAGUAAACGAUGAUAACUCGUUGUCGGCGAUACACAGUCGGUGACUAAGCGAAAGCGAUAAGUUAUCCACCUGGGGAGUACGUUCGCAAGAAUGAAACUCAAAGGAAUUGACGGGGGCCCGCACAAGCGGAGGAACAUGUG
rnacentral:rRNA from 2 species